AGUUCAAUUGUUGGGAAGAAGGCUUCAGGGCGCCCAAGAAAGUCCAGCAAGCGCCAGGACCGUCUCCUAAAGUUGAUUCAGCUGCUGUAUGACAGAAAAUGAAACUUAAAAGCAGACCCUCAUUCGUUUGCAUAUUGCCCAAACGACACACCAUUGUCAUAACUUCCUUGAGAACUGUUCUAAAGUAAUCUGUUGAAUCACUCUUACCUUAUCUGUACCCUGAGAUCAACAACACCUAGACAACAUUAGCAGCAUUUACACAACCAUGUGGGCAGAAGAUGACUUCACUCUUCCCUCUGGGUCAGUGCGACUGGGCCUAUCUGAACCACAAGAUGACAAUACCUACGUCAUGUACCACGGCACCACUAGGCUGGCCGCAAAUGAAAUCCUGAACACUGGUUUUCGUCAGUCUCAUGGUGGUAUGUUGGGGCGUGGAGUGUACCUGAGCCGAGACCUGAUGAAGGCAAGCAGGUACCCCCUGGAUCUUCCUGAACAUCGGAGGGUUGUCAUCCGAGUCAAUGUCAAUGUGGGCAAGGUGAAAAGAAUUGACUAUCAGUAUCAUCCUCUGCAGACAACCUGGCAUGAGAACGGUUACGACACCGCCUGGGUCCCUCCUAACUGUGGUAUGGUGAAGAGUGGUCUAGAAGAGGACUGUGUCUGGAAUCCAAAACGCAUCACUGUCUUAGGUACCAUCCAGCCUAAUAUGCAACAGCCCCAGUGUCAUUCACGCUGGUGAUGAAGGGAUGGAUAAUGUGUAACAAUAUGAAAAGAAAAUACAUUGAAUGUAUUUCAACAGUAUGUCAUUUAGUCUCAUUGACUAAAACAACAGUUGAUUUUGACCAAUAAAUUGUUACAACAAUAAACCGUCA